CCAAGAAACUGGUAGCGUCGGUGUUGUGAGCCAACAAAAGGCUGGCAACUGGCAAUUGGCAACUGGCAGCUGGGCAGCUGGCAGCUGGCAACUGGCACAGUCACCGGCAAUGGCCACCGUGUAAUGUGUGUGUGGAGAGUGGUGUGUGUGUGCCGGUUGCCCACAGGGCACGGGAAUUGGCUUUGGCUUUGGCUUUGACUUUUGAGCGACGCGUAGCCAGCCAAGAAAAGUAGCCAGCAGCCAGUACGUCAGCCAGAGAGCCAGCCAGUUAGCCAACAGCAGCAACAACAACAACAGCAAUUACUGGCCAAAAAGGUGGUGAUGUGAUGAAGGUCCAAGAAGACGAUGACGACGCAGCAGCAGCAGAGACAGCGACAGCGACUGCAUCCUUUGCCAAGACGGCGCAGGAUGACAGUCAAGGAAAAGGAAUAUUUCUUGGCCGCUAACGCAGUUGGAUUAGCCAAGUCAAACAAUGCUUUGACCCUGGCCAAGAUCACACGAAACCAAACGAACGCCAAUUGACAGCUCGCACACACACACACACACACACACACUUGCAGGCAUAGUUUGCACAGUGGUGCAGUGGGGCAGCAGCAACAACAACAACAACAACAGCAGCUGCUUCACAGGAUGCGUUCGUCUCGAUUAUACAGCAAACAAUAACAAAAACAAUUAUUAACAAACAAACAAAAAACGUGUCGCGCCGCAACAACAACAACAACAACAACAACCAGUGCGCUGUGUUAACUAGACGUGUAUGUGUGUGUGUGUAGAGUGUGAAGUGUAGUGUAGUGUGUUUGGCAACCUUUUGAACUGACCAACAUGCGCCGCCAACUCUUUUGGCCAACUCUUUUUGCCCAGUGCCAAAAAAAGCAACGUGCGCCAAUGGAGCAACUGGCGCAGCGCCCAGACAACAACAACAACAGAAUGUGGCCAUAACCAUUGUUUCAAACUGGCCACUAAUGAUUUGUCAGCCAUGUCAGCGCUGCAAAUUGGCCCAAAGCACACGCGUGCGAAACCUCAAAGGAUGCGCAUCAGGCAGUGACAAAACAUCGCGCAUACGCCGCGUAUAACAAGCUAAAUAAAUAAUUAUAAUUAAUUACAUAAACUUAAUCAAUCUUCAAACUUAAUUCAAGUAGUGUUUAUGAACAGAACAAAUAUUUCAAACAAUAAAAAAUACAAAAAAAAAAUAUGUAGCAAACUUAGCGUUAAAAUACUGCAAUGACAAAUUAUAUAACCGCAAACUAUAAUAUAACCCGCAAACAAUUAUGCAAUUUAAACUUAAAAACAUUAGUGCAAUCUAUAUUAUAAUAAUUUAAAUACUUGCUAUUAAAAGUCAAGUAUUUCAAGUUAUUAACAGUUAUAUUUGUUUAAAUUGGUUACUGAAAGCACUCGUAGACAAUUUGUACGGCUAAGAAUGAAAAAAAUGUGGAUCAGCGCGAGUUUUGUGUGUCGCUGGGAAAUGAUUCUGACAUUCAACAAAUGUGAUGACAGCUCAUGAAAAAUGCGUGCGGAAAAUGGUGUGCGGAAAAGCAACAGACAGGAAGACAACCUGAGUGGUUACUUGAGUGGACAAUGGCGAUGCGUUAAAGGAACCUCGUUGGCCAAUUGGCGGCCAAGCCGCUGCAGCUUGUCCUGGAACUGACCAACCAAUGACAGCGCAGCGGAUAAAAUUCCAAGUUGGCUGAAGGCAGCGCAGUGCACUUGGCAAACGUACAAAGUACACAGCAAGUAGCACACACACACACACACACUCGUGCACACACUCACACGCAAGCACACAGACUUGAUGGCUGCGCUCACACGCGCAUGAGAAGAACGUUGAUAAUAAAUCACGCAUACGCCUGUUGGCCCAGCAACAAAAAAACUAUUCGUGCUUGUAACGAGUGUGUGUCUGUUAUAUACAUAUAUAUGUGUGCGUGUGUGUGUCAAGACUUGCAGCGUCGGUUUGCCAACUGCAGUGCAGUGCUCGUUUCAGCCUGGCUCGGACGAGUUGGCCGGCAGGCAAUUGCACGAACGAUGCCUCCUUUGCAGGCAGCGCAUUGGGCAACCCCUGCACAAAAAAAAAUAAACAAAAAAAAAAAGCAGAAGCCGACCAAUCAGAACGACGCUUGUGCGCACCAUCCUUGGCCAAAACAGCAACCGAGCGAUGCCAACUAAACCAAGCUGAUAACAUUUUGUAUAUAUGCAUCCAAAAUAUAUUUGAUUUUAGUUCA